rnacentral:rRNA from 1 species
UCCCACCCGUGUUUAUCGUACCUUGUUGCUUCGGCGGGCCCGCCUCACGGCCGCCGGGGGGCAUCCGCCCCCGGGCCCGCGCCCGCCGAAGACACACAAACGAACUCUUGUCUGAAGAUUGCAGUCUGAGUACUUGACUAAAUCAGUUAAAACUUUCAACAACGGAUCUCUUGGUUCCGGCAUCGAUGAAGAACGCAGCGAAAUGCGAUAAGUAAUGUGAAUUGCAGAAUUCAGUGAAUCAUCGAGUCUUUGAACGCACAUUGCGCCCCCUGGUAUUCCGGGGGGCAUGCCUGUCCGAGCGUCAUUGCUGCCCUCAAGCACGGCUUGUGUGUUGGGCUCUCGCCCCCCGCUUCCGGGGGGCGGGCCCGAAAGGCAGCGGCGGCACCGCGUCCGGUCCUCGAGCGUAUGGGGCUUCGUCACCCGCUCUGUAGGCCCGGCCGGCGCCCGCCGGCGAACACCAUCAAUCUUAACCAGGUUGACCUCGGAUCAGGUAGGGAUACCCGCUGAACUUAAGCAUAUCAAUAAGCGGAGGAAUACCGAGUGAGGGCCCUCUGGGUCAACCUCCCACCCGUGUUUAUCGUACCUUGUUGCUUC